rnacentral:tRNA from 1 species
GGGCCCGUAGUCGAGUGGCUAAGACGUCUCCUUUACACGGAGAAGACCCGGAGUUCGAUUCUCCGCGGGCCCA